rnacentral:rRNA from 1 species
UGGGGAAUAUUGCGCAAUGGGGGGAACCCUGACGCAGCCAUGCGCGUGAAUGAAGAAGGCCUUCGGGUUGUAAAGUUCUUUCGGUAUUGAGGAAGGUUGAUGUGUUAAUAGCACAUCAAAUUGACGUUAAAUACAGAAGAAGCACCGGCUAACUCCGUGCCAGCAGCCGCGGUAAUACGGAGGGUGCGAGCGUUAAUCGGAAUAACUGGGCGUAAAGGGCAAGCAGGCGGUUAUUUAAGUGAGGUGUGAAAGCCCCGGGCUUAACCUGGGAAUUGCAUUUCAGACUGGGUAACUAGAGUACUUUAGGGAGGGGUAGAAUUCCACGUGUAGCGGUGAAAUGCGUAGAGAUGUGGAGGAAUACCGAAGGCGAAGCNAGCCCCUUGGGAAUGUACUGACGCUCAUGUGCGAAAGCGUGGGGAGCAAACAGGAUUAGAUACCCUGGUAGUCCACGCUGUAAACGCUGUCGAUUUGGGGGUUGGGGUUUAACUCUGGCGCCCGUAGCUAACGUGAUAAAUCGACCGCCUGGGGAGUACGGCCGCAAGNUUA